UACAUAGGGUGCGAGCGUUGUCCGGAAUCACUGGGCGUAAAGGGUGCGUAGGCGGUGAGGUAAGUCUGAUGUGAAAGCUCGGAGCUCAACUCCGAAAUGGCAUUGGAAACUACCUUGCUCGAGGGUUGGAGGGGGGACUGGAAUGCUUGGUGUAGCAGUGAAAUGCGUAGAUAUCAAGCGGAACACCAGUGGCGAAGGCGAGUCCCUGGACAACUACUGACACUGAGGCACGAAAGCUAGGGGAGCAAACAGG
rnacentral:rRNA from 1 species